rnacentral:rRNA from 1 species
GACGAACGCUGGCGGCGUGCCUAAUACAUGCAAGUCGAACGCAUUUUCUUUCACCGUAGCUUGCUACACCGAAAGAAAAUGAGUGGCGAACGGGUGAGUAACACGUGGGUAACCUGCCCAUCAGCGGGGGAUAACACUUGGAAACAGGUGCUAAUACUGCAUAAUUCCAUUUACCGAAUGGUAGAUGGGUGAAGGGCGCUUUUGCGUCACUGAUGGAUGUACCUGCGGUGCAUUGGCUAGUUGGUGGGGUAACGGCCUACCAAGGCUGCGAUGCAUAGCCGACCUGAGAGGGUGAUCGGCCACACUGGGACUGAGACACGGCCCAGACUCCUACGGGAGGCAGCAGGAGGGAAUCUUCGGCAAUGGACGCAAGUCUGACCGAGCAACGCCGCGGGGGUGAAGGAGGUUUUCGGAUCGUAAAACUCUGUUGUUAGGGAAGAACAAGGAUGGGAGUGGAAAGUUCAUCCCUUGACGGUAUCUAACCAGAAAGCCACGGCUAACUACGUG